UCAUUGACAUUACAGGCACACAUCCACAGAGCACUCUUCAAAUCAUCUACACAGUGGUUAUCCAACUAGGAUUAUAAAGGCACACAUUGACAUAGACCACUGUUGCAAUCAACGACACAGUCGCUAUCCAAGUAGCAUUAUAGAGCUGUCAUGCAACGCAACAACUGUGCUAUCUGCCAUCGCACAUCAACGAAGAAGUGCAGCCGCCCAUAUUCCACCUCACGUCUGUCCGACCAGCUGCAAUCCUCGAGGACGCCCCACUGUACCACGAUUUCACUACGAUGUUUGACAAGAAGGAGCAGUGCGCGAGAUAGGCUAAUGAGCAGACUUCCCUCGCUUGAGUUUCGGAAGAAUGUUCCAUAUCGCGCUAAGCUGACCACUGCUGACCAUGACAGGCGUGCAUUGGACUGGUACAGGUUGGAACUGAACAUUGAAUAUGCUGGUGGUGACGCUUUCUGAUGAGAAGUUGGUCGUGACUGAUGCAGUAUCCUUGGACUUGUCCACAGCAUCGUUCAAUCAUUGCUCUCUGAGCUGCCUUGAUUCUGUACUUACCCAAAUACUAAGACCAAAUGCCUGUUGACUGUGCUUUAAGUGAGACUGGCGCCAUGCCUAGAGAUAUGACUGACCCCUAUUGGCAAAUUUGUAUGACUUCAUCUUGCCUACCUAGCUGCUGCCUAUAGUCUCCCUUUAACUGCGGAACACUUGAAAGUCGAUAAAAUGCCAUGUUCCACCUUUUAAUGUGUUCAGACCGCCAUUUUCAAAAUAAUCAAGUCAGGACACUGCCUUCUCGUCUCAUAAUAAAUUUUGCUUUCCUCAAUAAUAACAUUUCUUCUUCUUCAAUGCUUUCAUCAUUCCAAACUUCUCCUCCUCUCACUUUUACAGGGGUACAGUCAUGGCAAUCAAAACCCAAAUACUAAGACCAAAUGCCUGUUGACUGUGCUUUAAGAGAGA